AAAGCUCGUAGUUGAAUUUCGGGGUUAGUAGGUUGGUCAUGCCUCUGGUAUGUACUGGUCUCACUGAUUCCUCCUUCCUGAUGAACCGUAAUGCCAUUAAUUUGGUGUUGCGGGGAAUUUGGACUGUUACUUUGAAAAAAUUAGAGUGUUUAAAGCAAGCUAACGCUUGAAUACAUUAGCAUGGAAUAAUGAAAUAGGACGUUCGAUCCUAUUUUGUUGGUUUCUAGGAUUGACGUAAUGAUUAAUAGGGAUAGUUGGGGGCAUUAGUAUUCAAUUGUCAGAGGUGAAAUUCUUGGAUUUAUUGAAGACUAACUACUGCGAAAGCAUUUGCCAAGGAUGUUUUCAUUAAUCAAGAACGAAAGUUAGGGGAUCGAAGACGAUCAGAUACCGUCGUAGUCUUAACCAUAAACUAUGCCGACUAGGGAUCGGAUGAUGUUAAUUUUUUAAUGACUCAUUCGGCACCUU
rnacentral:rRNA from 1 species